CUACAAAAUGCUAUGUGAACAGAAUGAGGAAAAUGAUAGUGAUGCAACCCCCAUACGAAAAUAUUAUACAAUGUGUAACCAGUGUAACGAAAACCAAAUGUUACUCAACAAACUAAUAUGUGUAAAUAUGCUGGAUCAUGAAGACUCAUAGUGGAAAGACUAUGUGUUGUGAGGUAGAAAAAUGUACUGGUCUAAGACAGGUAU